AAAAAGUUAGUUAAUAUAUAACAUUAGUAUGUCAUACUAAAAUUAUUAGUAAUUCUAAUACUUUUUU
rnacentral:tRNA from 1 species